ensembl:lncRNA
GGCGAUCCCCGCCCCGCCCCUCCCUCCGGCUCCCGACGGAGGCUCCGCCCCCAGCCCGAGACUUGGCGCCGUCCGACCCGGGAGCGAGCGCCCCUUUGCACCCUUCUCCAAGGAUGGCCCCGCGGGGCUCUGCAGGGACGAGUUUCGGUGUCUGCAGCCUUCCCUUUCCCAUAACGUGCGCGUAGAAAGCUUUCUGUGGAACGUUACCUCUGAGGCCAGUUGCCAAAACCCAACCAUAAGGGUGUCAUCCCAUGGACCAUAUCUUAGAGGUUUUUACUUACAAGGUCAGGGCUCACCAGAUGACGAGAGAGAGAGGACUCAUUACCAGGGCUCCAAGCUGGUGUUUUGCUCAAAAAGGAAUUUGCUUUCAAACAGACAUGUAUUCACUAAUCUCUUUUCUUUAAAAAAAUAAAUAAAUAAAACAAACACAAAAUCUCUUCCA